rnacentral:pre_miRNA from 1 species
GAUGUACUCCCUCUGUCCGGAAAUACUUGUCAUCAAAAUGGAUAAAAGAGGAUGCAUAUAGACAUAUUUUAGUUCUAGAUACAUCCAUUUUUUAUCUAUUUUGAUGACAAGUAUUUUCGGACGGAGGAAGUAUGAA